rnacentral:rRNA from 1 species
CGUGAGUAACCUGCCUUGGAGUGGGGAAUAACAGCUGGAAACAGCUGCUAAUACCGCAUAAUGCAGUUGGGUCGCAUGGCUCUGACUGCCAAAGAUUUAUCGCUCUGAGAUGGACUCGCGUCUGAUUAGCUAGUUGGUGGGGCAACGGCCCACCAAGGCGACGAUCAGUAGCCGGACUGAGAGGUUGGCCGGCCACAUUGGGACUGAGACACGGCCCAGACUCCUACGGGAGGCAGCAG